rnacentral:sRNA from 1 species
UUGGAAGAAGAAGAAGACGAGGAAGGA